rnacentral:rRNA from 1 species
UGGCGGACGGGUGAGUAACGCGUGGGUAACCUGCCUUGUACAGGGGGAUAACAGUCAGAAAUGACUGCUAAUACCGCAUAAGCGCACAGGACCGCAUGGUCCGGUGUGAAAAACUCCGGUGGUAUAAGAUGGACCCGCGUUGGAUUAGCUAGUUGGCAGGGUAACGGCCUACCAAGGCGACGAUCCAUAGCCGGCCUGAGAGGGUGAACGGCCACAUUGGGACUGAGACACGGCCCAG